AGUCAUAUGCUUGUCUCAAAGAUUAAGCCAUGCAUGUCCAAGUAUAAGCAAUCUAUACGGUGAAACUGCGAAUGGCUCAUUAAAUCAGUUAUCGUUUAUUUGAUAGUACCUUACUACUUGGAUAACCGUGGUAAUUCUAGAGCUAAUACAUGCUAAAAACCUCGACUUCGGAAGGGGUGUAUUUAUUAGAUAAAAAACCAAUGCCCUCCGGGGCUCCUUGGUGAUUCAUAAUAACUCAACGAAUCGCAUGGCCUUGCGCCGGCGAUGGUUCAUUCAAAUUUCUGCCCUAUCAACUUUCGAUGGUAGGAUAGUGGCCUACCAUGGUUUCAACGGGUAACGGGGAAUUAGGGUUCUAUUCCGGAGAGGGAGCCUGAGAAACGGCUACCACAUCCAAGGAAGGCAGCAGGCGCGCAAAUUACCCAAUCCCGACACGGGGAGGUAGUGACAAUAAAUACUGAUGCGGAGCUCUUUAGGGUUUCGCAAUUGGAAUGAGUACAAUUUAAAUCCCUUAACGAGGAACAAUUGGAGGGCAAGUCUGGUGCCAGCAGCCGCGGUAAUUCCAGCUCCAAUAGCGUAUAUUAAAGUUGUUGCAGUUAAAAAGCUCGUAGUUGAACCUUGGGCCUGGCUGGCCGGUCCGCCUCACCGCGUGCACUGGUCCGGCCGGGCCUUUCCUUCUGGGAAGCCGCAUGCCCUUCACUGGGUGUAUGGAAUAAUAAGAAUAGGACGUGUGGUUCUAUUUUGUUGGUUUCUAGGACCGCCGUAAUGAUUAAUAGGGAUAGUCGGGGGCAUCAGUAUUCCAUUGUCAGAAGGUGAAAUUCUUGGAUUUAUGGAAGACUAACUACUGCGAAAGCAUUUGCCAAGGAUGUUUUCAUUAAUCAGUGAACGAAAGUUAGGGGAUCGAAGACGAUCAGAUACCGUCGUAGUCUUAACCAUAAACUAUGCCGACUAGGGAUCGGGACGGUGUUAUCAUUUUGACCCGUUCGGCACCUUACGAGAAAUCGAAAGUUUUUGGGUUCUGGGGGGAGUAUGGUCGCAGAGGCUGAAACUUAAAGAAAUUGACGGAAAGGGCACCACCAGGACAACGGCCUUCGCGCCUGGUAAGAACUGUUUAGUCCCCUGAUGGGGGGGGCGAGACUCCUGAACUGCGGGGAUCGCUGCCGCGAGGCUGUGUACCCGAAGCCCGAGAGGGCUCACAGAUCAAGUGGAGUCGGUAGCACGCCGCACACCCCGGCGGGGGAGGGCUACUUGUGAUAUGAUCGGGCCGCCAGCCAACGCUGGCGACUCCGUGCGUGAGCUGCGGCUUAAUUUGACUCAACACGGGGAAACUCACCAGGUCCAGACACAAUGAGGAUUGACAGAUUGAGAGCUCUUUCUCGAUUUUGUGGGUGGUGGUGCAUGGCCGUUCUUAGUUGGUGGAGUGAUUUGUCUGCUUAAUUGUGAUAACGAACGAGACCUUAACCUGCUAAAUAGCCAGGCCCGCUCAGGCGGGUCGCCGGCUUCUUAGAGGGACUAUCGGCUCAAGCCGAUGGAAGUUUGAGGCAAUAACAGGUCUGUGAUGCCCUUAGAUGCUCUGGGCCGCACGCGCGCUACACUGACAGAGCCAACGAGUACACUCCCUUGGCCGGAAGGUCUGGGUAAUCUUGUUAAACUCUGUCGUGCUGGGGAUAGAGCAUUGCAAUUAUUGCUCUUCAACGAGGAAUGCCUAGUAAGCGCGAGUCAUCAGCUCGCGUUGAUUACGUCCCUGCCCUUUGUACACACCGCCCGUCGCUACUACCGAUUGAAUGGCUCAGUGAGGCCUUCGGACUGGCUCAGGGAGGUCGGCAACGACCACCCGGAGCCGGAAAGUUCGUCAAACUUGGUCAUUUAGAGGAAGUAAAAGUCGUAACAAGGUUCCC
rnacentral:rRNA from 1 species